GAUGAACGCUGGCGGCGUGCCUAAUACAUGCAAGUCGAACGAAACUUCUUUAUCACCGAGUGCUUGCACUCACCGAUAAAGAGUUGAGUGGCGAACGGGUGAGUAACACGUGGGCAACCUGCCCAAAAGAGGGGGAUAACACUUGGAAACAGGUGCUAAUACCGCAUAACCAUAGUUACCGCAUGGUAACUAUGUAAAAGGUGGCUAUACUACCGCUUUUGGAUGGGCCCGCGGCGCAUUAGCUAGUUGGUAGGGUAAAGGCUUACCAAGGCAAUGAUGCGUAGCCGAAUUGAGAGGUUGAUCGGCCACAUUGGGACUGAGACACGGCCCAAACUCCUACGGGAGGCAGCAGUAGGGAAUCUGCCACAAUGGGCGAAAGCCUGAUGGAGCAACGCCGCGUGGGUGAAGAAGGUCUUCGGAUCGUAAAACCCUGUUGUUAGAGAAGAAAGUGCGUGAGAGUAACUGUUCACGUUUCGACGGUAUCUAACCAGAAAGCCACGGCUAACUACGUG
rnacentral:rRNA from 1 species